rnacentral:lncRNA from 1 species
GUUUUAUGGUGGGUUUUUUGGGGUACCUUUUUGUAACUUUGUUUCCAAGUUCAUAACCAACAAACUAACUCCUCACUUUGCCAGAAGUUGUCUUUUUUAUACAUAAGCUUGUUAGUUUUUUAACUGAAUGGAAAGGUGCAUAGUAAGAGCAGCUUCUAUUUCCUCAGCCAUGGUCAGACAAGCAGCAGAUGCUGUCAGAAGCAGCCCUGGCUGCCUGAAGCCUCAGGACAUCUUGGAGUCCUAGUACAUUGAGAAGCAUUUACUUGCAGGAUGCUCAAAGGAGACUGAUGGCUGGUUUAUCCUGCCAGGUGUAACCUGAGGCCCUUUCAGCAGGAGUGUCUGUGAGACAGCCCACUGGCUGAUGCACCCCACACCAAGGCAGAUCACCCAUGACUGCCCUUGGAGAAACCAACUGUGUAGAAGCUCAGUCAAGCUCACUUACUCUCCUGCUCACCCUUGAGUUUCUCACUAGCCUGGUCUUUGCAUUUCCUCAAGCAUGGUUUGUAUUGACUCAUUCCUGACCUCGGUAGAAAUAUGUGCUUUAUCCAUCAUAUUGAUCAAGUUUACAGAAAAAUAAUAUUUUAUAAAAUAUGGAAGUUUUAAAUGCUGGUGUCUUCUGUGCUUCCCCACAGGAGUAAGUGACCUUCCACCUUGGUUUCCCUGGUGACUAACAAAGCAGACAGUGCAGGCUGGGUACAAGCCAGCUGCUCAGAACUGACUGAUGCUAGUCCAAGGUGUGCUGUUCAUCUUAACCUCCUUUCAUUUGUCUGCAAUCAGUGGAGCAAAAGAGCAGCAUUACAUACAGCUUUUAUCAUGGCAUGCAGAGAUAUCAGAGAGCUUCCUCACCUCAGGACAGAAGGACAGAGCCUGUCCAUGGAUGGUGCCCAGAUAUCCAUUUCCAGAGGCCCAGGAAACCUUGACAGAAGCAAUCCUUUUCUCUGUAACAUUCCUGGUACUGACUUUUCAAGAGCACCUUCAGAAUGCUCUUUACCAUUUGUCUUGGGUUGCAAGAUGUAACCAAGAGUAUGUAUUCUAUUACCAGCUGUUAAAACCAGGCAGGGCAGUGUUCUUUAUCUCUUCCAUAACCCAUCCUCCCUCCAGGGGAUAUCUUCUGUAAAUAGGCCACUGAGUCUCACUGCAUGACUGAUAAAAUGGCAUCAUCCCAUUGGGAGAUGCUCCACCCAGGGGGAGGAGCUAAGAAUUCCUAGCUGGAUAUAAUCUGAGCCUUGGAAUACCUCAGGCAGCCUUUCUCCACUGGAUUCCCAGAAGAAGACUGGGCCCAUGUACAUCACCAGACCUUCAGAGGAAAACAAGAAACAAAACCCCUCUACAAGGGUUGCUUCAACAGAACCACAUCUGUCACUCCAGGAGAACUGCAGCUACCAUUUAAUCAGACUGCUACCAGCAUCCUGACCAACAGGGUGUCAGGCUGUAUUCUGACUCCAUCACUAGUUUGGUUGUUUUGUACUACUGCAUUUUUAUUUUAAUUUUCCUAGUAAAGAACUGUUAUUCCUAUUCCCAUAUCUUUGCCUGAGAGCCCCUUGAUUUCAAGUUAUAAUAAUUUGGGGGGGGGAGGGGGUGUUUAAAUUUUUUUUCCAUUUCAAGUAAAGUUUCUGCCCUCCUUAGCAGACACCUGUCUCUUCAAACUGAGACACCAUUUUUUCACCAGCAUGUGAAGCCAAAGCUAUUGCCAGAC